GGAGUUAGCCGGUGCUUCUUCUGCGAGUAACGUCACAGAUGUAAGGUAUUAACUUACACCCUUUCCUCCUCGCUGAAAGUGCUUUACAACCCGAAGGCCUUCUUCACACACGCGGCAUGGCUGCAUCAGGGUUUCCCCCAUUGUGCAAUAUUCCCCACUGCUGCCUCCCGUAGGAGUCUGGGCCGUGUCUCAGUCCCAGUGUGGCUGAUCAUCCUCUCAGACCAGCUAGGGAUCGUCGCCUAGGUGAGCCUUUACCUCACCUACUAGCUAAUCCCACCUGGGCUUAUCCAUCAGCGCAAGGCCCGAAGGUCCCCUGCUUUCCCCCGUAGGGCGUAUGCGGUAUUAGCAGUCGUUUCCAACUGUUAUCCCCACAAAUGGGCAAAUUCCCAGGCAUUACUCACCCGUCCGCCGCUCGUCAUCUUCAAAGCAAGCUUUUAGAAUGUUACCGCUCGACUUGCAUGUGUUAGGCCUGCCGCCAGCGUUCAAUCUGAGCCAUGAUCAAACUCUGA
rnacentral:rRNA from 1 species